rnacentral:rRNA from 1 species
AACGCUGGCGGCGUGCCUAAUACAUGCAAGUAGAACGCUGAAGGAGGAGCUUGCUUCUCUGGAUGAGUUGCGAACGGGUGAGUAACGCGUAGGUAACCUGCCUGGUAGCGGGGGAUAACUAUUGGAAACGAUAGCUAAUACCGCAUAACAGUAGAUGUUGCAUGACAUUUGCUUAAAAGGUGCAAUUGCAUCACUACCAGAUGGACCUGCGUUGUAUUAGCUAGUUGGUGGGGUAACGGCUCACCAAGGCGACGAUACAUAGCCGACCUGAGAGGGUGAUCGGCCACACUGGGACUGAGACACGGCCCAGACUCCUACGGGAGGCAGCAGAAGGGCGAAUUCGU